rnacentral:rRNA from 1 species
UACGAAGGGGGCUAGCGUUGUUCGGAUUUACUGGGCGUAAAGCGCACGUAGGCGGAUCGUUAAGUCGGGGGUGAAAUCCUGGAGCUCAACUCCAGAACUGCCUUCGAUACUGGCGAUCUUGAGUCCGGAAGAGGUGAGUGGAACUCCUAGUGUAGAGGUGGAAUUCGUAGAUAUUCGCAAGAACACCAGUGGCGAAGACGGCUCACUGGCCCGAUACUGACGCUGAGGCACGAAAGCGUGGGGAGCAAACAGG